GUUUUUUUUUUUUUUUUUUUUUUACCUUCCUCUGUCACCUU
rnacentral:ribozyme from 1 species